AGUUUGANCAUGGCUCAGGACGAACGCUGGCGGCGUGCUUAACACAUGCAAGUCGAACGAUGAAGCCUUUCGGGGUGGAUUAGUGGCGAACGGGUGAGUAACACGUGGGCAAUCUGCCCUUCACUCUGGGACAAGCCCUGGAAACGGGGUCUAAUACCGGAUAACACUCUGUCCCGCAUGGGACGGGGUUGAAAGCUCCGGCGGUGAAGGAUGAGCCCGCGGCCUAUCAGCUUGUUGGUGGGGUGAUGGCCUACCAAGGCGACGACGGGUAGCCGGCCUGAGAGGGCGACCGGCCACACUGGGACUGAGACACGGCCCAGACUCCUACGGGAGGCAGCAGUGGGGAAUAUUGCACAAUGGGCGAAAGCCUGAUGCAGCGACGCCGCGUGAGGGAUGACGGCCUUCGGGUUGUAAACCUCUUUCAGCAGGGAAGAAGCGA
rnacentral:rRNA from 1 species